UGCGUGAGUUAUCUGUGAAAGAGACUAAAAUUAAAUCAUUAGCACGCCUAUGUAUCAAGAAUUGGAAAUUCCCAUCUAUUUGAUGAUGUCAUUACACACAAGCUUUGAAACAAGAGAGCGCUGCGAUGCAUCAUCACAUUGCUGUCUGAUAUCAAGAGGAGAGUAACGUAUUUACCGCGACUGUUUUAAAGAAGACUUGAUGAAUAUCUCGUGACUGUGUCGUCAUUAGCAAGGAAAGUCUGUCUUCCACGCCAACCUUGGAUCGGGAGUUAAACUACUCUACACAAGUUGAAGUUGAAAAUCGGCAGGCAUAUUGUGACGCUGCGGUUGUUCAACAGAAGACCACGUUCAUUUCACUGGAGAAGCUAUGAUGACAGACGUCUUGAAGAUGUUUUUUAUCGGGACAGCGUUCACCGUCCUAGCCGCGCUGAUGGGAAUGGUGGAUUCAUUUGGUGGUCUCAUGUAUGUCCAAGGCGCGGAUGCGGCAGAAUAUUUACAGUUGGACAGCAGUACUGACAUACGGAUGUCUUCAACCCAUUCGAGAGGUUCAGGGAGUACCAAACGCAUUGGAUCCUGAUGAGGACGUCAUGCGGAGUAGAAUUAACACAGACAGGCUUGGUUUAUGUUAUGUUUUCGUUUGUCAAUUACUGCUUGCACUGUACAAUGUGUACACUGAUUUUUACAAUAACAUUAUUGAGCCUUUCAUCAUGGUUCGCUUUCAGUUUCACAAGUUGGUGUCCCACUCCCACUGGCCAAAACCUGGUUGAAUCAGCGCUGUUUCCACGUCAUUUCAACCCCGAAAAAUCUAUGUGAUGACGUUGAAUGAGCGUGGAAGACUGAUUGGAUUUGCAAAAAGUCAUCAACGUAUGGAAACUCUGUCUCGUUUUUAACCUGAAUCCAAUGACAUGGUGACAUUUUUGGUUGAAUUGUGCAAUUCAGAACUAGACGUCGAACUGACGUCUGUGCGCAGUGGGGGUUUGAUUUAUACAGGUCACUACGGGUUUGAUGAGUUGUUUAACUUGUUUUGCACAUUUGAAGAACACCCUAGUUGAUGUUUAUAGUAGGCUAUUACUAAAGUACUAGGUCAUAUUGACAGCUAUUACUAUGUAGUUCUAUCCACUAUACUAUACUAAAACUUGGUAGGGCAGCAGGUAGAGCGUUGGGACAGAAAAUGGUAGAGCGUUGGGACAGUAAAUGGUAGAGCGUUGGGGCAGUAACUGAAAGAUUGCUGGUUUGAAUCCCUGAGCUGACUAGGGGGAAAAAUCUGUCUGUGCCCUUGAGCAAGUUACCUAAUUUAGCAAACGCUAAAUCGGUCUGGAUAGGUGCAUCAGCUAAAUGACAAAAAUGUACUAAUCUGUCUACAUGGUAUUCCCUAUAUCAUGUAGGCUAUUUGUUGUAUAUUGAAGAUCACAUUAAGGGUAAAAGAAAAAGGGCUACAUUAUGCACUAAUUGACAGUUCAUCAUGCACUGUAAUAUUGUGUCAUAAAAAAAGUUGUAAAGAAUAAACACUUUUUUAUAGGCUUUUGACAAUAAAAUGAAUAGACACUA